UACGAAGGGGGCAAGCGUUACUCGGAAUUACUGGGCGUAAAGGGUGCGUAGGCGGCAUGGUAAGUUUGAUGUGAAAGCUCAGGGCUCAACCCUGAAAUGGCAUUGAAUACUACUGUGCUGGAGGUUUGGAGGGGGGACUGGAAUUCUUGGUGUAGCAGUGAAAUGCGUAGAUAUCAAGAGGAACACCAGUGGCGAAGGCGAGUCCCUGGACAACACCUGACACUGAGGCACGAAAGCUAGGGGAGCAAACAGG
rnacentral:rRNA from 1 species